rnacentral:tRNA from 1 species
GCGUCUGUAGCCUACACCACGGUCAUUUGGGUGUCGCCCCGGAUGUAACCGUCGUGAGUUCGAAUCUCACCAGACACA